UACGGAGGGGGCUAGCGUUGUUCGGAAUUACUGGGCGUAAAGCGCACGUAGGCGGCCAUUCAAGUCAGAGGUGAAAGCCCAGGGCUCAACCUUGGAACUGCCUUUGAAACUAGAUGGCUAGAAUCCUGGAGAGGCGAGUGGAAUUCCGAGUGUAGAGGUGAAAUUCGUAGAUAUUCGGAAGAACACCAGUGGCGAAGGCGACUCGCUGGACAGGUAUUGACGCUGAGGCGCGAAAGCGUGGGGAGCAAACAGG
rnacentral:rRNA from 1 species